AACGAACGCUGGCGGCAUGCCUAACACAUGCCAGUCGAACGAACCCUUCGGGGUUAGUGGCGCACGGGUGCGUAACGCGUGGGAAUCUGCCCUUUGCUUCGGAAUAACUCAGGGAAACUUGUGCUAAUACCGGAUGAUGUCUUCGGACCAAAGAUUUAUCGGCAAGGGAUGAGCCCGCGUAGGAUUAGGUAGUUGGUGGGGUAAAGGCCUACCAAGCCGACGAUCCUUAGCUGGUCUGAGAGGAUGAUCAGCCACACUGGGACUGAGACACGGCCCAGACUCCUACGGGAGGCAGCAGUGGGGAAUAUUGGACAAUGGGCUCAAGCCUGAUCCAGCAAUGCCGCGUGAGUGAUGAAGGCCCUCGGGUCGUAAAGCUCUUUUACCAGGGAUGAUAAUGACAGUACCUGGAGAAUAAGCUCCGGCUAACUCCGUG
rnacentral:rRNA from 1 species